rnacentral:rRNA from 1 species
UGUAAGCGUAUACCAAAGUUGUUGCAGUUAAAACGCUCGUAGUCGGAAUUUGGCAGUUCCGGAAGUGUGCACGUCGUGUGCGCACUUUGUGGGGACUGCUUUUGUGGUCUUGCGUAGGAUGAGGCACUUUCAUUAGUGAACGUCCUCACGCAACCACUCUUUACUGUGAGAAAAUCAGAGUGCUCAAAGCAGGCAUUUGCCGUGAAUGUAUUAGCAUGGAAUAAUAGAAUAGGACUCGGUUCUAUUUUGUUGGUUUGUUGGGACUGAGUAAUGAUUAAGAGGGACAGUUGGGGGCAUUUGUAUUCCGGCGCUAGAGGUGAAAUUCUUAGAUUGCCGGAAGACAAACUGCUGCGAAAGCGUCUGCCAAGGAUGUUUUCAUUGA